UGCAUGGCUGUCGUCAGCUCGUGUCGUGAGAUGUUGGGUUAAGUCCCGCAACGAGCGCAACCCUUGUCCAUAGUUGCCAGCACGUAAUGGUGGGAACUCUAUGGAGACUGCCGGUGACAAACCGGAGGAAGGUGAGGAUGACGUCAAGUCAGCAUGCCCCUUAUACCCUGGGCUACACACGUGCUACAUUGGGCGAGACAAUGAGACGCAAAUCUGUGAAGACUAGC
rnacentral:rRNA from 14 species